rnacentral:rRNA from 1 species
CCCUAGUAACUGCGAGUGAAGCGGGAAAAGCUCAAAUUUAAAAUCUGUCAGUCUUUGGCUGUCCGAGUUGUAAUCUAGAGAAGUGUUAUCUGCGCUGGACCGUGUACAAGUCUCCUGGAAUGGAGCGUCAUAGAGGGUGAGAAUCCCGUCUCUGACACGGACUACCAGGGCUUUGUGAUGCGCUCUCAAAGAGUCGAGUUGUUUGGGAAUGCAGCUCAAAAUGGGUGGUAAAUUCCAUCUAAAGCUAAAUAUUGGCGAGAGACCGAUAGCGAACAAGUACCGUGAGGGAAAGAUGAAAAGAACUUUGGAAAGAGAGUUAAACAGUACGUGAAAUUGCUGAAAGGGAAACGCUUGAAGUCAGUCGCGUUGUCCAGGGAUCAACCUUGCUUUUGCAUGGUGUACUUUCUGGUUAACGGGUCAGCAUCAAUUUUGAUCAUUGGAAAAAGGUUAGGGAAAUGUGGCAUCCUUGGAUGUGUUAUAGCCCUUGAUUGUAUACAAUGGUUGGGAUUGAGGAACUCAGCACGCCGCAAGGCCGGGUUUUUAACCACGUACGUGCUUAKGAUGCUGGCAUAAUGGCUUUAAUCGACCCGUCUUGAAACACGGACCAAGGAGUSUAACAUGCCUGCGAGUGUUUGGGUGGAAAACMCGAGCGCGUAAUGAAAGUGAAAGUUGAGAUCCCUGUCGUGGGGAGCAUMGACGCCCGGACCMGACMUUUUGUGWCRSUUYCGCGGUAGARMAUGUAURUKGGGACCCGAAAGAUGGUGAACUAUGCCUGAAUAGGGUGARRCCAGAGGAAACUCUGGUGGAGGCUCGYAGCRAUUCUGACGUGCAAAUYGMUCGUCAAAU